AAGCAGAGAACCAUAGAUAGAACAGCAGUAUUAUAUUAUUUAUUCUUAUUCGAUAUACGACAGGACAGCCAUGGCUAGUUCCACAUCUACAGCUGGAACUAAAGGAAAAGUAUUGUGUGACAUUACUAAAAUGAAAGACAUCUCCUACACGCAUUUCGCAACAUCUUCAGAUGUAAUUAAAUUAUAUAUUUCUGGAGAGAAAAAUGUAAGAAAAUUAAUAAAAGAUCAAUUUCUAAUCAUAAAAAAUAUAAAUACUUCAUUACAUUUGGGAACUGCAAAAGCAUCAGACCAAUCAGAGAUAUUACAAAUGAAAAGAAUUGAAGUGUGUGAAGACAAAAUUAACCAAUUUUGGGAACCACAGAUUGUUUCAGUGCCGGAAGCAUUGUCAAGUCCCAAAAAAUCAAGACUGAGUAUCACUGGAUACAUUUCAAAGAUCAAUGACCCUAUAACAAGUGAUAGCUCUAGGAGAAAAUUUCUAAAUUUAUCAUCCGGACAAGAAACAGAUGAAAAAAAACAGACUAUACAGGUUAAAUUGUGGGGAGAUCAAACCGACAUAAAUGUACCAAAAAUUGGAUCCAAGGUCCUCAUUAAAAGUCUAGUUGUUGGCGAAUUUAACAAAACCACUGACAUGAACUCUACCGCACAGACUGUAAUAAUGGAAUCUGAUGAAGAAGAAAUCUUUAUUGGUAAAUAGAUGGAAUAGGUUGGGAUAGGUAUGUCCUUGAAAAUUUUUCAUACCCUUCCCUCUUUGUUUAACAACACAAACCUGUUUUUAAAACUUUGACGUGGAAAUAUGAUCAUAAAUUGUCAUAGCCCCUGACUGUCGAUCCAUCAUCCACAAUUUCUUAUGAACAUUUAUCAUCUGAUUCUUUUUAAAUUGAUAUAUGUUGUUUACAUAACUGCCAUGAAUAAUCCUAUUUGAUUACAGUAACACCAUUAAUUACUUCUAGAGUUAUGAAACUUGUUUCACUUUAUAUACACUGUGAUUCUGAAAAUUUGACAGAAACACAUGUUUUUGUAUUUUACUCACAACUCCCUUAAUACACUGGCUAUUUGUAUAAUUCAACUACCAAAAUUUGUUAUAGGACAUGCUCUAUAAUCAUAAAUUUAUAUUUAUACCCAUUCCACAGUCGUUGUUGUUUGUAUUUCAGAGGAG